AUGUACUGAUUUCCUGGACUUAUCCGGAUGCCGGUGAUGUUGCCGCUGUGUCCCACCCCGACGACUCACCCGUGACGAAGUGCACUCCUUCCUGGGUGAUGUCCAUUCCAUUGACCGACCCAGACAAGGAACCUUCCAACUCUCUGAUGACCGACCCAUCAAAGACUUCCCAAGAGAAGGAGACUGUGCCAGUGAGCCCGGAUUGUGACAGAAAGCGCUUUGGGUGAGACGAAGCGCUCGGGAGUCCGAGGCAAGCUGUAAACGAAGAAGGAAACAGCCACAGCGUCCACGUUCCCGGUUCAGCUCUCAGGGGAGGGCCUGGUGGAAGGGAAGCGUCCCCCCUCCAGCUGCUGGGGGAGUGACCGGCCCAGAGAGUUCUGCCAGAUCUGGUCCCUACGGCUGACUGUGAGCUCUUCCCCACCUCGCUCUAUUUCCAAGGUUCUGUUCUGCCUUAAAGCAGUGAAAACCCCCCCUAGCGUGAGGUCUAGAGGCAA